UACAGAGGUCUCAAGCGUUGUUCGGAUUCAUUGGGCGUAAAGGGUGCGUAGGUGGCGAGGUUAGUCAGGUGUGAAAUCUCGGGGCUCAACCCCGAAACUGCAUUUGAUACUGCCUUGCUAGAGUACUGGAGAGGAGAUUGGAAUUUACGGUGUAGCAGUGAAAUGCGUAGAUAUCGUAAGGAAGACCAGUGGCGAAGGCGAAUCUCUGGACAGUUACUGGCACUGAGGCACGAAGGCCAGGGGAGCAAACGGG
rnacentral:rRNA from 1 species